GCUGAGUGAAGGUAUGCCUACUAUUUUUGCAACUUCUUGUUAGUCUAUAAUUAUUUUGAAAUUAAAAGUUAAAAAAAAUGUUUAAUACAGAACCCCAAAUAUGAGUAAGGCUACUGGUUUUAAGAACCCACAUAAUAAACAAAAAACGAAAGCCCUAAUUAUGCAGGAGGAUGUUGAAAUAAACGAUUUUGAAGGAAAUGAUGAAAAGUGAAUGCGAUGCCACAAGAACAACAGGCCUAAGGGAAUAUGCUUUUCACCUUCAGAGACAAGACUGCAAACCUAGCAGAGUGGAGAGCUUAACAUAUCCUGGUUUUCCUGCUGCAAGUGGGGUUGAAAAGCACGCGCAGUGGAUUGAAAAUCACAACUAUCCUGCCAAGCGCAGCAGGCUAGCGUUUCCUGGAAUCUGGUCUUAUUUGGAGCCAUACAAGCUGCUGCUUUCUGAAAGGAGGAAACUGAAAACAACAACAAAAGCAGAAUUUCUCUUUUAUUCCCGACUGGAAGAAAGAAAAUCAGGACCAUGAGCUAUCCACCGCUGAUGUCACGUUUGUCUUUAUACGUGACGAUUCCAUUCACCACACCUCUUCUCCGUUGUGUGGAAGCUCCAUCUUACCUCGUCUGCUUCCACCAAGCCAACUCCAUGCCUUUUAUUCAGGCAAAGGCCUAUGUUUACUCAAUUAUUAGGAAUUAAAGAGGUUUAGAACUGUGAGAACAUUUUUAUUGGGGACACAUCUCCCGCCACCCCCAGCCCAGGUGAACUUCAAGUGCCACACAACCUAGACCUGCCCUUGGUAAUAUUUUCAAAAGCUUGUAAUAAAAAUAAGAAGUCUCUUCUCCUAUUUUUCCUUUCUUCUCAAUCCCCAGAUUUACCCAUAUUUUACUUAUUCUGUUUCUUUAGCU
rnacentral:lncRNA from 1 species